GACGAACGCUGGCGGCGUGCUUAACACAUGCAAGUCGAACGGAAAGGCCUGCUUUCCCUUGUGGAUUGCGGGUACUCGAGUGGCGAACGGGUGAGUAACACGUGAGUGAUCUGCCCCCAACUUGGGUAUAGGCCUGGGAAACUGGGUCUAAUUCCCGAUAGGACUGCAGGGUGGUGCCUGUGGUGGAAAACGAUUUUCUAGUGGUUGGGGAUGAGCUCGCGGCCUAUCAGCUUGUUGGUGGGGUAAUGGCCUACCAAGGCGGCGACGGGUAGCCGGCCUGAGAGGGUGGACGGCCACAUUGGGACUGAGAUACGGCCCAGACUCCUACGGGAGGCAGCAGUGGGGAAUAUUGCACAAUGGGCGGAAGCCUGAUGCAGCGACGCCGCGUGGGGGAUGACGGCCUUCGGGUUGUAAACUCCUUUCGACCGCGAGGAAGCCACCUGGUUGGAAGGGUGGUGACGGUAGUGGUAGAAGAAGCACCGGCUAACUACGU
rnacentral:rRNA from 1 species